CCUACGGGGGGCAGCAGUGGGGAAUAUUGGACAAUGGGGGCAACCCUGAUCCAGCCAUGCCGCGUGUGUGAAGAAGGCCCUCGGGUUGUAAAGCACUUUCAGUGAGGAAGAACGCCUGGUGGUUAAUACCCAUCAGGAAAGACAUCACUCACAGAAGAAGCACCGGCUAACUCCGUGCCAGCAGCCGCGGUAAUACGGAGGGUGCGAGCGUUAAUCGGAAUUACUGGGCGUAAAGCGCGCGUAGGUGGCUUGAUAAGCCGGUUGUGAAAGCCCCGGGCUCAACCUGGGAACGGCAUCCGGAACUGUCAAGCUAGAGUGCAGGAGAGGAAGGUAGAAUUCCCGGCGUAGCGGUGAAAUGCGUAGAGAUCGGGAGGAAUACCAGUGGCGAAGGCGGCCUUCUGGACUGACACUGACACUGAGGUGCGAAAGCGUGGGUAGCAAACAGGAUUAGAUACCCCAGUAGUC
rnacentral:rRNA from 1 species